rnacentral:tRNA from 1 species
AAUAUAUUAUUUUAAUAAACAAUUAAUAAAUAAUAUAUUAAUUAUUGAUAAUCUAUUUAAUAAUUUAUUAAAGAAAAUAAUAAUAUCUAAUAAUAUUUUAAUAACUAAUUUAAAAUUUGAACAUAGACUAAAUAGUAUUCAUAUUAAAUAUUAUUUUUAUAAUUAUAUAAAUAUUAAUAAUGAUGAAUUAAGUAAAUUAUAUAAUAAUUAUAUAAUAAGUAUUAAUAAUCAAAUAAUUAAUUUAUUA